rnacentral:siRNA from 1 species
UAGACCUCAUACAAUAACUGUC